AACGAACGCUGGCGGCAUGCCUAACACAUGCAAGUCGAACGAAACCUUCGUGUCUUGUGGCGCACGUGUGCGUACCGCGUGGUAACCUACACUUAGGUUCGGAAUACCUCCCCGUAGGGGAUGCUCAUACCGGUUAAUCUCUUCGCGCAUAGGAUUUCUCGCCUUUGGAUGGGCCCGCGUUAGUUUAGCUGGUUGGUAGGGGAAUAGCAUACCAAGGCGACGAUGCAUAGCUGGUCUGAGAGGAUGACCAGUCCCACUGGGAAUGAGACACGGCCCAGAAUGGUACGGGAGGGAGCAGAGGGGAAUAUUGGAGAAGGGGCGAAAGUCUGAUACAGCAAUGCCGGGUGAGUGAGGAAGGCCGUAGGGUUGUAAAGCUGUUUUAGCCGGGAUGAGAAUGACAGUACCGGGAGAAUAAGCUCCGGCUAACUCCGUG
rnacentral:rRNA from 1 species